CCAAUGUGUAUGUGGUGGGGUUCCCGCACCAAACAAUUCUUUGACACCAGCUGGGUGUCCUACAGCUCAAUUCAAUCCUGACACUAUUUACCUGGAAGUAGCACCAGACUCCAGAGGUUAAGGGCUCAGUCCCAAAAGUCUGCACUCCCCUUCAGAGAUCAAUCACAAAUUACUUGCUUUGGGGGAGACAUGUUGUUAGCUAUGUUGUAAACAACCAUAGCAAGAAGCUGAAGUCCCUGGUCAAUCACAAGCAAGGAGCCAAGAAUUUCCAACUGCCAUAUGAGUGAGCUUGGAAGUAGACUCUCCAGGUCCAGUUGAUCCUUGAAGUGACUAUAGUUUUCAUCAAUGGCCUAAUUGAAACUUAGUCUAGUGGUCACUGCACCAACACACCCUAUCCAGCCAGCACAAGGUCCACUCCGAGAGAAGCAGCAUGUGUGUGAUCUGAAGGAAGUUCAAGGAGAAGUAAUGGGUGGAAUCUAAAAAGGGCAUGAAAAGACUUUGUGCAACAUUAUCCUUUCCUGAAUGUGGCAGAAGGUGGUUUUUACUGCAUAUCACAAUAUUGAUAUCCAUCCAUUUGUUCAACAAAUAUGAGCAUUUGCAGCACAUAUGACACUAUGAUUAGAUGUUGGAGAUACCAAGAGAAAUAUGACCUUGGACACUAUGUUGGAGGCUAUUGCACUGCAGCAUUUAUUAUAUUAUAUCAAAACUGGUUGAUGUCAAAAUGUUAUGGUUCUGGAGUCAGGAGUGAUAUUAGGACCAAUUUCAGAGAGGAAAUAUUAUUUGAGCAAGAUUUUGUCUAGCAGGAUUUUUUAAUAAGAGAAGUUUGCUUUCGGUCUGCCUUCAUCACUGUGCUGGAGAAAAGACGGGAAUAAAGAGUAGUCCUGGGGAGGACGUUCCAGGCCAAAGAAGAGCAUGUGAAAAGAUGUAACAGCUAGAGUGAGGAUUGAAACUCCAUCGUGAUGCCAGAGCACAAGACAAAGGAAAAACACUUGCUAGGAUUCAAAGCAAUGCCUGUCUUUCUACAUAUAAGCAAGACUAUUUCAACUUAAGAAUGUGGUGUGACAUUCCUGCUGGUCAGAAGUAAUUUGGUCUCAACCUUCACCCAGCUCCUCUGAGAUUCCUGAAAAUACUCAGGAAGGACAUGUCAGUGUGGUGUUUCCAAUUAAGUAUAAACAGCAUUGUCACUGCUAUCAAGGAAUGGGGCCCACACCAGAGUCUAAUUAUUAAACAGGUAUUGCUCUGUUACAUAU